AAUAACCAAAUAUAGCACUUGGGUUAAGAGUUGGGUUCAUAAUUUUUCUUACAUCUCCACCGUCAGGAGCCCAAGUAUCAUAUACACCUCCAAAAUACAAAGCCUUGAGCACUGGAAGAAAAGAACCAACACCUAGCAAGAUUAGGUGAAUACCCAAGAUUGUGGUCAUUUUGUUUCUAUCUUUCCA
rfam:Picea glauca, whole genome shotgun sequence.